rnacentral:misc_RNA from 1 species
GAUGAAGAACGUAGCGAAAUGCGAUAAGUAAUGUGAAUUGCAGAAUUCAGUGAAUCAUCGAAUCUUUGAACGCACAUUGCGCCCGCCAGUAUUCUGGCGGGCAUGCCUGUCCGAGCGUCAUUUCAACCCUCGAACCCCUCCGGGGGGUCGGCGUUGGGGAUCGGCCCUGCCUUGGCGGUGGCCGUCUCCGAAAUACAGUGGCGGUCUCGCCGCAGCCUCUCCUGCGCAGUAGUUUGCACACUCGCAUCGGGAGCGCGGCGCGUCCACAGCCGUUAAACACCCAACUUCUGAAAUGUUGACCUCGGAUCAGGUAGGAAUACCCGCUGAACUUAAGCAUAUCAAUAAGCGGAGGA